rnacentral:rRNA from 1 species
UACGGAGGGUGCAAGCGUUAUCCGGAUUCAUUGGGCGUAAAGAGCUCGUAGGCGGCUUGGCAAGUCGGGUGUGAAAACUUCAGGCUCAACCUGGAGCGGCCACUCGAUACUGCCAUGGCUAGAGUCCGGUAGGGGACCACGGAAUUCCUGGUGUAGCGGUGAAAUGCGCAGAUAUCAGGAGGAACACCGGUGGCGAAGGCGGUGGUCUGGGCCGGAACUGACGCUGAGGAGCGAAAGCGUGGGGAGCGAACAGG